UGUAGCAAGGUUAACCGUAUAGGGGAGCCGGAGGGAAACCGAGUCUUAAUUGGGCGUUAAGUUGCAGGGUAUAGACCCGAAACCCGGUGAUCUAGCCAUGGGCAGGUUGAAGGUUGGGUAACACUAACUGGAGGACCGAACCGACUAAUGUUGAAAAAUUAGCGGAUGACCUGUGGCUGGGGGUGAAAGGCCAAUCAAACCGGGAGAUAGCUGGUUCUCCCCGAAAGCUAUUUAGGUAGCGCCUCGUGAAUUCAUCUCCGGGGGUAGAGCACUGUUUCGGCUAGGGGGCCAUCCCGGCUUACCAACCCGAUGCAAACUGCGAAUACCGGAGAAUGUUAUCACGGGAGACACACGGCGGGUGCUAACGUCCGUCGUGAAGAGGGAAACAACCCAGACCGCCAGCUAAGGUCCCAAAGUCAUGGUUAAGUGGGAAACGAUGUGGGAAGGCCCAGACAGCCAGGAUGUUGGCUUAGAAGCAGCCAUCAUUUAAAGAAAGCGUAAUAGCUCACUGGUCGAGUCGGCCUGCGCGGAAGAUGUAACGGGGCUAAACCAUGCACCGAAGCUGCGGCAGCGAACGUAUCACCCAAGACAACUUUACGGAGUUGACGAUUGACGGAGCGAAGCGACGUCAAAGCGUUCAUUAAAGUCGAGUUGGCUUAGGGAUACGUUCGUUGGGUAGGGGAGCGUUCUGUAAGCCUGUGAAGGUGUGUCGUGAGGCAUGCUGGAGGUAUCAGAAGUGCGAAUGCUGACAUAAGUAACGAUAAAGCGGGUGAAAAGCCCGCUCGCCGGAAGACCAAGGGUUCCUGUCCAACGUUAAUCGGGGCAGGGUGAGUCGACCCCUAAGGCGAGGCCGAAAGGCGUAGUCGAUGGGAAACGGGUUAAUAUUCCCGUACUUGGUGUUACUGCGAAGGGGGGACGGAGAAGGCUAUGUUGGCCGGGCGACGGUUGUCCCGGUUUAAGCGUGUAGGUGUGUGUUCCAGGUAAAUCCGGUUCACUUUAACACUGAGGCGUGACGACGAGGCACUACGGUGCUGAAGCAACAAAUGCCCUGCUUCCAGGAAAAGCCUCUAAGCAUCAGGUAACACGAAAUCGUACCCCAAACCGACACAGGUGGUCAGGUAGAGAAUACCAAGGCGCUUGAGAGAACUCGGGUGAAGGAACUAGGCAAAAUGGUGCCGUAACUUCGGGAGAAGGCACGCUGACACGUAGGUGAAGUGAUUUACUCAUGGAGCUGAAGUCAGUCGAAGAUACCAGCUGGCUGCAACUGUUUAUUAAAAACACAGCACUGUGCAAACACGAAAGUGGACGUAUACGGUGUGACGCCUGCCCGGUGCCGGAAGGUUAAUUGAUGGGGUCAGCGUAAGCGAAGCUCCUGAUCGAAGCCCCGGUAAACGGCGGCCGUAACUAUAACGGUCCUAAGGUAGCGAAAUUCCUUGUCGGGUAAGUUCCGACCUGCACGAAUGGCGUAAUGAUGGCCAGGCUGUCUCCACCCGAGACUCAGUGAAAUUGAACUCGCUGUGAAGAUGCAGUGUACCCGCGGCAAGACGGAAAGACCCCGUGAACCUUUACUAUAGCUUGACACUGAACAUUGAGCCUUGAUGUGUAGGAUAGGUGGGAGGCUUUGAAGUGUGGACGCCAGUCUGCAUGGAGCCGACCUUGAAAUACCACCCUUUAAUGUUUGAUGUUCUAACGUGGACCCGUAAUCCGGGUUGCGGACAGUGUCUGGUGGGUAGUUUGACUGGGGCGGUCUCCUCCUAAAGAGUAACGGAGGAGCACGAAGGUUGGCUAAUCCUGGUCGGACAUCAGGAGGUUAGUGCAAUGGCAUAAGCCAGCUUGACUGCGAGCGUGACGGCGCGAGCAGGUGCGAAAGCAGGUCAUAGUGAUCCGGUGGUUCUGAAUGGAAGGGCCAUCGCUCAACGGAUAAAAGGUACUCCGGGGAUAACAGGCUGAUACCGCCCAAGAGUUCAUAUCGACGGCGGUGUUUGGCACCUCGAUGUCGGCUCAUCACAUCCUGGGGCUGAAGUAGGUCCCAAGGGUAUGGCUGUUCGCCAUUUAAAGUGGUACGCGAGCUGGGUUUAGAACGUCGUGAGACAGUUCGGUCCCUAUCUGCCGUGGGCGCUGGAGAACUGAGGGGGGCUGCUCCUAGUACGAGAGGACCGGAGUGGACGCAUCACUGGUGUUCGGGUUGUCAUGCCAAUGGCACUGCCCGGUAGCUAAAUGCGGAAGAGAUAAGUGCUGAAAGCAUCUAAGCACGAAACUUGCCCCGAGAUGAGUUCUCCCUGAGACUUAGAGUCUCCUGAAGGAACGUUGAAGACGACGACGUUGAUAGGCCGGGUGUGUAAGCGCAGCGAUGCGUUGAGCUAACCGGUACUAAUGAACCGUGAGGCUUAACCUUACA
rnacentral:rRNA from 1 species